rnacentral:rRNA from 1 species
GGAGUUACAAAGGACGACAUUAGACGAAUCAUCUGGAAAGAUGAAUCAAAGAAGGUAAUAAUCCUGUAGUCGAAAAUGUUGUCUCUCUUGAGUGGAUCCUGAGUACGACGGAGCACGUGAAAUUCCGUCGGAAUCUGGGAGGACCAUCUCCUAAGGCUAAAUACUCUCUAGUGACCGAUAGUGAACCAGUACCGUGAGGGAAAGGUGAAAAGCACCCCGGAAGGGGAGUGAAAUAGAACCUGAAACCGUGUGCUUACAAGUAGUCAGAGCCCGUUAAUGGGUGAUGGCGUGCCUUUUGUAGAAUGAACCGGCGAGUUACGAUUUGAUGCAAGGUUAAGCAGUAAAUGUGGAGCCGUAGCGAAAGCGAGUCUGAAUAGGGCGUUUAGUAUUUGGUCGUAGACCCGAAACCAGGUGAUCUACCCUUGGUCAGGUUGAAGUUCAGGUAACACUGAAUGGAGGACCGAACCGACUUACGUUGAAAAGUGAGCGGAUGAACUGAGGGUAGCGGAGAAAUUCCAAUCGAACCUGGAGAUAGCUGGUUCUCUCCGAAAUAGCUUUAGGGCUAGCCUCAAGUGAUGAUUAUUGGAGGUAGAGCACUGUUUGGACGAGGGGCCCCUCUCGGGUUACCGAAUUCAGACAAACUCCGAAUGCCAAUUAAUUUAACUUGGGAGUCAGAACAUGGGUGAUAAGGUCCGUGUUCGAAAGGGAAACAGCCCAGACCACCAGCUAAGGUCCCAAAAUAUAUGUUAAGUGGAAAAGGAUGUGGCGUUGCCCAGACAACUAGGAUGUUGGCUUAGAAGCAGCCAUCAUUUAAAGAGUGCGUAAUAGCUCACUAGUCGAGUGACACUGCGCCGAAAAUGUACCGGGGCUAAACAUAUUACCGAAGCUGUGGAUUGUCCUUUGGACAAUGGUAGGAGAGCGUUCUAAGGGCGUUGAAGCAUGAUCGUAAGGACAUGUGGAGCGCUUAGAAGUGAGAAUGCCGGUGUGAGUAGCGAAAGACGGGUGAGAAUCCCGUCCACCGAUUGACUAAGGUUUCCAGAGGAAGGCUCGUCCGCUCUGGGUUAGUCGGGUCCUAAGCUGAGGCCGACAGGCGUAGGCGAUGGAUAACAGGUUGAUAUUCCUGUACCACCUAUAAUCGUUUUAAUCGAUGGGGGGACGCAGUAGGAUAGGCGAAGCGUGCGAUUGGAUUGCACGUCUAAGCAGUAAGGCUGAGUAUUAGGCAAAUCCGGUACUCAUUAAGGCUGAGCUGUGAUGGGGAGAAGACAUUGUGUCUUCGAGUCGUUGAUUUCACACUGCCGAGAAAAGCCUCUAGAUAGAAAAUAGGUGCCCGUACCGCAAACCGACACAGGUAGUCAAGAUGAGAAUUCUAAGGUGAGCGAGCGAACUCUCGUUAAGGAACUCGGCAAAAUGACCCCGUAACUUCGGGAGAAGGGGUGCUCUUUAGGGUUAACGCCCAGAAGAGCCGCAGUGAAUAGGCCCAAGCGACUGUUUAUCAAAAACACAGGUCUCUGCUAAACCGUAAGGUGAUGUAUAGGGGCUGACGCCUGCCCGGUGCUGGAAGGUUAAGAGGAGUGGUUAGCUUCUGCGAAGCUACGAAUCGAAGCCCCAGUAAACGGCGGCCGUAACUAUAACGGUCCUAAGGUAGCGAAAUUCCUUGUCGGGUAAGUUCCGACCCGCACGAAAGGCGUAACGAUUUGGGCACUGUCUCAACGAGAGACUCGGUGAAAUCAUAGUACCUGUGAAGAUGCAGGUUACCCGCGACAGGACGGAAAGACCCCGUGGAGCUUUACUGUAGCCUGAUAUUGAAAUUCGGCACAGCUUGUACAGGAUAGGUAGGAGCCUUUGAAACGUGAGCGCUAGCUUACGUGGAGGCGCUGGUGGGAUACUACCCUAGCUGUGUUGGCUUUCUAACCCGCACCACUUAUCGUGGUGGGAGACAGUGUCAGGCGGGCAGUUUGACUGGGGCGGUCGCCUCCUAAAAGGUAACGGAGGCGCUCAAAGGUUCCCUCAGAAUGGUUGGAAAUCAUUCAUAGAGUGUAAAGGCAUAAGGGAGCUUGACUGCGAGACCUACAAGUCGAGCAGGGUCGAAAGACGGACUUAGUGAUCCGGUGGUUCCGCAUGGAAGGGCCAUCGCUCAACGGAUAAAAGCUACCCCGGGGAUAACAGGCUUAUCUCCCCCAAGAGUUCACAUCGACGGGGAGGUUUGGCACCUCGAUGUCGGCUCAUCGCAUCCUGGGGCUGUAGUCGGUCCCAAGGGUUGGGCUGUUCGCCCAUUAAAGCGGUACGCGAGCUGGGUUCAGAACGUCGUGAGACA